UACGUAGGGGGCUAGCGUUGUCCGGAAUCAUUGGGCGUAAAGCGCGUGUAGGCGGUUCGGUAAGUCCGCUGUGAAAGUCGAGGGCUCAACCCUCGAAAGCCGGUGGAUACUGUCGGGCUAGAGUGCGGAAGAGGCGAGUGGAAUUCCUGGUGUAGCGGUGAAAUGCGCAGAUAUCAGGAGGAACACCGGUGGCGAAGGCGGGUCUCUGGGCCGAUACUGACGCUGAGGGGCGAAAAGCGUGGGGAGCGAACAGG
rnacentral:rRNA from 1 species